rnacentral:rRNA from 1 species
AGUGAACGCUGGCGGUAGGCCUAACACAUGCAAGUCGAACGGCAGCACAGUAAGAGCUUGCUCUUACGGGUGGCGAGUGGCGGACGGGUGAGGAAUACAUCGGAAUCUACUUUUUCGUGGGGAUAACGUAGGGAAACUUACGCUAAUACCGCAUACGACCUACGGGUGAAAGCAGGGGAUCUUCGGACCUUGCGCGAUUGAAUGAGCCGAUGUCGGAUUAGCUAGUUGGCGGGGUAAAGGCCCACCAAGGCGACGAUCCGUAGCUGGUCUGAGAGGAUGAUCAGCCACACUGGAACUGAGACACGGUCCAGACUCCUACGGGAGGCAGCAGUGGGGAAUAUUGGACAAUGGGCGCAAGUCUGAUCCAGCCAUACCGCGUGGGUGAAGAAGGCCUUCGGGUUGUAAAGCCCUUUUGUUGGGAAAGAAAAGCAGCAGGUUAAUACCCCGCUGUUCUGACGGUACCCAAAGAAUAAGCACCGGCUAACUUCGUG